AAGUGUGAUGAACCACCAUCACCACACCAAGAUGAUUUUUCUCUUUAAACCAAACAGAGUAAAUUGAUAGUGUGACAAAAUGGUAACUUGUAUCUUAAGACCAUACUUAAGAGUAGUCACAAAAUUCUUGGGAACUUGGAGUGUGCUUGCGAGAAUUAGAACUAAACGUAAUUAUUUGCUGUAAAAGUAAUGAUUGAAUAUGCUACUAAAAGAAUUCCUAAUCACCUCCAAAAAUAAUCAUCGAUUUCGUAACUCUCUAAGCCUAUUUCAACUAAUCACGCUUUAAUUGUU
rnacentral:lncRNA from 1 species